rnacentral:rRNA from 1 species
CCCUUAGAUGUUCUGGGAUGCACGCGCGUUACACUGAUUCGUUCAACGAGUUUAUGACCUUGCCUGAUGAGGUGGGGGAAUCUUUUCAAAUCGCAUCGUGAUGGGGAUAGAGUAUUGUAACUGUUAGUCUUCAACGAGGAAUUCCUAGUAAGUACGUGUCAUCAGCUCGUACUGAUUAUGUCCCUGCCCUUUGUACACACCGCCCGUCGCUCCUACCGAUUGAGUGCUCAGGUGAAUAGUAUGGACUGCAUCAGUGUUCGGUCUCCGAAUGUUGACGCGAGAAAUUCUGUGGAUCUUAUUGCUUAGAGGAAGGAGAAGUCGUAACA